rnacentral:rRNA from 1 species
GACGAACGCUGGCGGCGUGCCUAAUACAUGCAAGUCGAACGCUGAAGGAGGACCUUGCUUCUCUGCAUGAGUUGCGAACGGGUGAGUAACGCGUAGGUAACCUGCCUGGUAGCGGGGGAUAACUCUUGGAAACGAUAGCUAAUACCGCAUAAUAGUUGCUGUUGCAUGACAUUUGCUUGAAAGGUUCAAUUGCUUCGCUACCAGAUGGACCUGCGUUGUAUUUGCUUGUUGGUGGGGUCACGGCUCACCUAGGCGACGAUACCGACCCGCACUGAGAGGGGGGGCGGCCGCACUGGGACGGAGACACGGCACAGAGGCCUUCGGGAGGCAGCAGUAGGGAAUCGUCGGGAAGGGGCGGAAGACUGAGCGAGCAACGCCGCGUGAGUGUAGAGGGUUUUCGGAUCGUGAAGCACUGUUGUAAGGGAAGAACGAGUGUGAGAGUGGAAAGUUCACAGUGUGACGGUAACUGACAAGAAAGGAACGGCUAACUACGUG